GUCAGGCCUGGGGAUGACAACAGUCACAGGUAGGUCACAGAAAACUCAAGAAACCUGACCACUAAGGAAUAAGGGCGUGGCGUGAUCAACAGAGAGGCACUACUCACUGGUCUGGAAACUCCAGGGCCUGACUCUUGAUCUUACUGUGCAAACACAUGAUUCGUUCAUCCAUGAAAGGGCACUGUGGAGAGGCCAGGGAGUGUGGUGCUCAGUGGUUGCCGCCUGUAUCCUUCAGAGCCCAUCUGUGCUGUGUCGCUCCUCAGGGAUCACAGCAGUGGCCCAGGCUGGGGAGGGGCCGGGACCCAUUCCCCUUCACUCUGCCCCCAGAUCAGUAGAGGACGGGAAUGUCUAGUAGGUGUCAAGCCCUUACCGACCACACUACUGACCUGCUUUGUUUCGAAGCUUCAAUUUCCUACUGACGCAAAAGCAAACACUCUUCCCCGCCCACCUACCCAGAGAGCAAUAAGGAAGCUGAGGGUAAUAUGUGUGUGCACAUGUGUGAGUGUGAUUGUGUCUGUGUGUGUGAUUAUGAGUGUGUGUUUGCAUGUGUGAUUAUGUGUGAGAAAGUGUGUGUGAUUGUGAGUGUAUGUGUGAUUGUGUGUGUAUGUGUGUGUGAGAGAGUGUGUGUGUGUGUGAUUAUGAGUGUUUGUAUGUAUGACUGUGUGUGUGAGAGAGAGACAGAGUGUGUUUGUGUGUGUGUGUGUAUGUGUGUGUGUGUGUGUGUGUGUGUGUGUGUGUGUUAUGAGGAUUUACCCUGGUUCAGGGGCCAUAGUAGACUUUGUGUGACUACACACAGCCAAUCCAUGGUGCCCUCUACCUAAAAUGAUCUCCCCAUCAAGUGCGUGGCUUUUUCUCUCCAGUCAUGUCUGACCAAAACUGCCUACGAGUGGUCCCCAGCCAAGCAGACCUACCUCAUUCUUGCCAACCAUGCCAUCCCUAGCUGGGCACCUGACCUGACAAGACAGUCAUUUACUGAUAAUUCCUUUCCACUGAAUCCUCAAUGACACCGGCUUAGGGCUUCCUGGCUGGCUCUUUCUCAGAAUGUCCUUGGCACAGUAAAGAUCUACUGAACUAAUGAAAAUUCAGGUUGGUUCUGUCUAACCUCUCAGGGCUAGGGUGCAGCUCAGUGGUUCAAAGGGUGCUUAGUAUGCACAAGGCCUGGGUUUGACUGACAUCCGAGAGAAGGUAGGAAUGACGAAAACAGACAUAUGGAUACUAUAAUAUGGUGGAAGAAUCCAUGUGGUGGGGUUAUGAAGUGGGUGUAAUGGGGCUGGGGAUUUAGCUCAGUGGUAGAGCGCUUGCCUAGGAAGCGCAAGGCCCUGGGUUCGGUCCCCAGCUCUGAAAAAAAGAACCAAAAAAAAAAAAAAAAAAAAAAAAAAAAGAAGUGGGUGUAGUAUUUGGAAUAUGUUUGGCACAUAGGAGGUGGCACUAUUAGGAGGUGUGGCCUUGUUGGAAUGGGUGUGGCCUUAUUGGAGGAAGUGCAUCACUAUGGGCCUGAGCUCUGAGGCUCCGCCCAGUGCUCUUGGUUGGCUCCGCCCAGAGUCACUCUCUCUUGGUUGCCUUCUAAUCAAGAUGCAGAAUUCUGAAGUCCUCCACCAGCAUGGUGCUUUCCUGCACCCUGCCAUGCUUCCUGCUAUGAUGAUAAUGGACUGAACCUCUGAAACUGUGGAACGAAGCCUGUUUCUUAGCGCUGUUGGUUGGGACAUGACACAUGGGCAUGGCCAAGGACAGCCCAGCACCCUGCAGCCACAGUGGUUGGUUUGAAUUUCUUUGCUGUUGCUGUUCAGUGAGCAAAGCUACAGAGCUGAUCGCCUGAUGAGAAGCAAUCUGCAGGGUCUGGUGCCUGACCCUCUUCCAGGGCAACCAGCUCAGGAGAACGGAGACAGAGCUGGGGAGAUACCGAUCCUCGAAACCCAAGGACGCUGAUACAGGCAGAACUCUGCACACCCAAACCUACCUUUCCGGAGAAGAUCUUCCGGGUCUCUGAGAGCGACUCGGGCGCCAUGAAGGCAGGCGUGCCCACGGUGUUAGACAGCAAGGCGUCGCU